rnacentral:rRNA from 1 species
AUUGAACGCUGGCGGCAUGCCUUACACAUGCAAGUCGAACGGUAACGCGGGCAACCUGGCGACGAGUGGCGAACGGGUGAGUAAAGCAUCGGAACGUGCCCAGUAGUGGGGAUAGCCCGGCGAAAGCCGGAUUAAUACCGCAUACGACCUACGGGUGAAAGGGGGGAGUCGCAAGACCUCUCGCUAUUGGAGCGGCCGAUGUCAGAUUAGGUAGUUGGUGGGGUAAAGGCCUACCAAGCCGACGAUCUGUAGCUGGUCUGAGAGGACGACCAGCCACACUGGGACUGAGACACGGCCCAGACUCCUACGGGAGGCAGCAGUGGGGAAUUUUGGACAAUGGGCGCAAGCCUGAUCCAGCCAUGCCGCGUGCGGGAAGAAGGCCUUCGGUUGUAACGCUUGUCAGGAAGAAACGACGUCUGGGAGUAAUACCCUGGGUAAGUGACGGUACCUGAAGAA